GUUUUCCUCUUUUACCAGAAAUGGUCGAGAUCCUGAAAUCAGGAUUCUUACAGAAUUUGAUGAGACCACUGAAGGUGCAUUCAGGACAAUUUAUCUCCAUCAUUAUUCACCCAUCCUACCAUGAAGGUGCAUUUGUCAACUCCAUCAGGGCUUAGUUAUUUGCAGAAAACAAAAACAGAAUGAGAAGCAGCUCCGUUAUAUUGUGAGAAUCUCCACAGUGAUCUUCUAGCUGUACUUGGAUCACUGCCUCCUUAUUUAGAGUGUGUGGAGCUAGAAAUAGUAUCUGGGACAACUGGUUGUAGUUCAUCAAACCGCAGCUGUUUGGGCGCAGACUUCUGAUGGACUUCAUCUGUGCAGUUGUUGAUUCCUACCAUAGCAGAGGGUUCUUUUAAAAUUCGCAUAUUCCAGAGCAUUGUCCCUUUCAUGGGACAAAGCCCCCCAGUACAGUGACACAAUAUAAUGAAGCAUGCAAAUGACGUGAGUGAAUGGAGUACCACUAGAAGGACCAACUGGACAGUCCUGGGCACAUAGCUAAUCACAGAACGAUGAGGGAUUGCUGCACAGUCAGGGGAACACGGCAGAGUCUCAAGGAGAUUUAUAAACUGCGUUUGCUGUGAUGCACUCGGCAGACACAAGCCACGGCCUUCUCGCUGGGCCUGGCUGACUUGACCUGGGCCUCGGGCGUCCUGCCGAGAGCGUGCACCUGAACCACUUUCCGAAGUCCUUGCUGCAUACAGUCUUUGGAACACGUGCUGUUUUCAAAUUUUUCUAAAUGUGAGGACGAAGGCUUGCAUGGGACAGAGUACUGACAAAUUACCCACUCAUCAGUCCUCGUGGGUUCACAAUAUAAAAUUAAGAGUUUCGAUUUAAAGUCAAAGUACAAGACUGAAAACCAGCAGAGGGUAGAGGAGUGAAGGCUAUUCCACGGGUUGAUCCCACAUCUACACAGUGAAGAAGCUCCCAACAUGCCCUCCCCAUAGUGGAUCAGAGAUGUCACCUUCCUUCCAGAAAGACAGCACUGUAAGGUUAAGACAGUGAUUUAGAACCACAGAUGAACUGGUGUCACUGUUUUUAACCUCUGAGUGGAAGUGACAUGGCAUCUGGUGUGACACGUUAUUAGACAACUGUUUUUGUAGCUAUAAAAUUAUGUAACUAGAAGGUGCUGUCACCAUCAGCAAAACGUUAAGGGCCGCAGCGCUCUGGAGUGUCCACGCAUUUGCUCUGGGUUAGUUCCUGCUGGUGCCAUUUUGCUAAGUGCUUUGUGCUCGGCUGAGGGAGGGGUGUGCUUUAACCUCACAAGGGGUUCUCUGAGGUUCCUCCUUUCUUUUGCAUUGUCCCCACCUUUUAGGGACUUAUUGUCACUGGUUUCAAAUGUGAAGAAAACUACAAAACCAAGUCUAUCAGUGAAACACAGCUCACUCCACACAGCACGCUGGAGCCAUGAUUAAGACUUGAGAGAGGCGCUUUCCUCCCCAUCAGCACCCCUGCCCCAGGGCAUGUGAGACCCACAGGGAGACGGUGACCUUGAGUCCUAAGAUUUGAGCCCAACUCUUAAGUUUCCC
rnacentral:lncRNA from 1 species